rnacentral:lncRNA from 10 species
UCGUUUUCUAAAACAAGACGCAUGGGUUAGUUCUAAGGUAACUCCACACACCCCCAAAACCAGCCUUUUGGCUCGAAGAAGGUACAGGAGUUCCUUACCUCCUACUCUAAACUAGCACCUUCUAUGGUCUGUUGUGAGACAAGGGGCUUCAACGACCCACAAAUAUUUACCAGGACACAACUGAGAACCUAAGCUGUGCCAAGAAGGUGUGGCCGCUGCACCUGAGGGCCCACUGUCCAGCUGGGAAACAUGACACGCACACAGCAAACAGGAGGAAGCCAGAAAAUGAGAAGUCCCGGAGUUGGAAUGUGGACAUUAAUUUACUGUCAGGGAGCCAUGAAGUGCAAGGCCCAGCCCCAAGCUCCUGGAGGAUAUGCUCCACAAAUACAGAGGGAUAACCAAGAAAGAAGAGGCCAUAAGAUGUAUGAAACAGAAGAUC